CCUUAUUUACCGGGGGAAUGCUGUGGUAGCUAUCAGUGCGGUGUGUAAUAGCAAGCGCCGCUGGUGAAUGUGUUUACUCACACAAGGUCUCUUAGUUUCAAGUCGUAUUACUCCUUUAACCAACUCGAUCGUUUUGGCUUCAAUUUUAUUUUCUCGGAAAACAGUGCAACAAGUUUACAAAAUUCGCUGUAAGUCAGUGGGGGGAAUCCGUUCACAGGUUGCCCCACUCGGCAAAGGACGGAAACGCGGUGCCCUCGUUGGACCGUCUCUUUGCUCGCUGGGAGCUCGCGCACCUCUCUGGUGUUGCAGUUAUUAUACUAGGUUUAGAAUAUUUGCAACCCACGCGUUAAUAUCGAGUACAGAUAGAAGAGCGCUUUAAUUUGUGCACAAUUUACGCGCCAGGAUUGCACGAGCUGUCGCAUUGUUGAGAUUCCCUUAUGAAGGCAGUGGAGGCUCGAGGAAACUCAAGGUGCACUGAAAGCAUGGAGAAGGACCCAGGGUCUUACAAACGGCAGUAUUGCUGCAGGACAUUCGGAAGUGUCAUUUCGCUUUUAUUUUCUGUUGUGUCGGUCGCCUAUUGCAUUCUUCUGAGUGUACAAACAUCCGAAAUCAGACAGAGGGUCGUGGAAUUGGAAACUGGAACCGGGGAGCUUCUGUAUCAUCAGAUUCCCGGCUUUUCCAUGGAUCAAUUUAAUUCAUUGGUGCGGGAGAGAGUGGAUCAACUUCUGUCUCAGAGGACUUACGAACAUUUGGCCAAGAUAAGAUCUGCUCGAGAAGCUCCAUCUGAAUGUAACUGUCCACCAGUUCCAAGGAUUGGGUGAAGCUAUCAAACCUUGGCCCAUGUUCUGCUUCCUCCCUGCCCUGGCAGAAGGACAGGCGGCCGGUGGCCAGGCCGAUAUUUGGGAACGCAGGGCAGGGCAGUUCAAGCCAUGGAAGAGAGCGUUGGACCCUCCGGGACCCUGGAAUCCUGACUAUUUCCACCAGAGAGAGAGGAUAGAGUGAUAGAGUGAGGAAGUCAGAGAGAGGACAGAGCGAUAGAGUGAAGGAAGUCACAAAAAACAGAUCUGGCAGUGGGACGAGUUUGGGUCAGAUAACCUACCCCUGGUAUUAAUGUUCCAGAGGAGUGCAUUCCCGCCUCCUGCAGACUGUGUUACGAGCUAGACCGGGUGGUGGUAUCUGAGCCAAACUCGUGGACCUGAAAGCCAUGUAGACAGAGCAGAAGUUCUCCCAGGCCUCUGGAGUGGGGGUGUCCAAAAUACAGAAGUUCAGGAUUUAACAAUUUAGUUGCCAUUUUCAGCUCAAGUAACAUAUAACAUAGCUAAAAAUCACCACUACAGCCAGAGAUAAGUCAGACGUCUUUAUGGUUGGUCAAUAUUAGCACAUUACAUGAAAUGCUCCCUGCUGUCAUGUGAUUUACUUGAGUGGUCGCUCUUCCAGAUGGGUGGUCAGAACAGACAGGGCUGCUUUUAAAUUUGCCUCAUGGAUUCCUCCUCCCAUCUCAGGGUGAGGCUUAAAGCCCUUUGGACUCGUUUCUCACUCAAGCAGAGAAAGAGGUUCGUCCAGGAUUUUCCCCGUCAUCACCUCUGACGAUUUCCUCAUGUACACAGAGCCUCUUCAGACACACUGCCCGAGUCAAGCACAAGUCUGACAAGCGUAGUGUAGUCUGGUAAAGUUCAAUAACAUGCUUCUGUGGCCCAGAUUAGCACUGCUGUGUGUUAUUACCACAGUCACUGUGGGGAUUGGAGGAGAGAGGUGUGAAAUGAAUACUCACAGAGCAUGACCUUUUUGCUGAAAUGCGGUGAUAAAAAUAAUCAAAGGUUUAAGAAAUGAAUGCCAUUCAAAUCAAGGUCC